AACAGACCCCUCCCUUCGUUCAUCUCUCUCAUCUCUCUCCUGCACAACCCUAGCGCCGCCCUCAUAUCUCUUCGCCAUUUACGGUGGCGGCGCAACCAUAAACUAUCCCAAACCGCCUCAAAAUCAUACCAUAGGACCCCCUCAACCUCCCCUUCCCCAAUCUUUAACUAAGAUCCCUCGAAUCGUCACAAAGCAGAGCCGAUUUCAAAUCUAAAAAAGGGACAGAAAAACAAAAGCAAAAAUCUCUUGACUUCUUCAAGUUUCCAUGACCGGUUAGGGUCUAAAUUGGUGUUUCUCGCUGGUUUUCAACAAGGACCCCCGACGAAUACCAAUUUCGGCUAGAACUCGGGAUAAUGGAGGUCCGUUCAAAGCCAUGGCAGAGGUCCGUCCACUUCCAAUUAGGUAUUUCAAGUCCUUUUAUUGUUUUCCUAUUCGUUUAGUUCCAGUUUUCAUUCCCUUCUUGCUCUAUAUGUUCUUCCCUCUAUUAUUUUCUUCGUUCUGAGUUAAAUUAUGUUUGCAUGCUUAAAAUUAAAAGUUGUCCGUUCGUGUUUGUUUUAAGUCUUGGUUCUUUUGUUUUAUUUAAUUUUUUCUCUCUUGUUUGCAAGAGAAAGGAACUUUGAUUUUUGUGGGGGCAAUUUCGUUUAGCCCAUUGGUUUUCUAAGUUUGAUUUUAAAUUGGACUCUGUUAAUCAGAGGCCCAAAGUAAAAGGGAUUAGCCGGGUUUGGUAAACCCAUGUCUGGCUAGGCUUUGGGUCAACUUGACCCAGUUGGUUUUGAUGGUAAAUGCCAAGGUUUUAAGGGGUUUUUGGGUAGUGUAGCUUAGGGAAUCUCAUUUAACUGAUUGCGGAAGCUUCUAGGAAGCUGGGGUGGCGACUAAAUUGAAGUUCUGAAAAUUAAACUAAUAGUACCUAAGCUAAAAUAAAAAUAUUAAAAGGUGCAAAGAGCAAAAUCUGAAAUCUUGACUACUGCCCUAAUUCCUCUGUAUAAAACCCCAUUAGCUGAUUUUUUAAAGGAGGAUCAGAUUUGAAAAAUUAGAAACGACUGAGUAUUCUCUCAAGUGAAAAGAGGCUAAAAAUUGUUUGGAGUUUGCUUGGUUUUUGGAUUUCUAAAUUACUGUGAUAAAUCAGAAUUUCAAGGCUCAAUAGAGUAAUUCGAAUCUGGGUUUCCAUAGUGUGGAUCUGAGUAAAAAAUCUGAAGUUUGUUGUGCACCAUUGUUUGUUGCAAUAUUGCUGCUGUGGGAUGAAGUUCUGAUCCUUAAUCACUUCUUUUCCUUCUGUUUUGACUGCCGUAUCCAGGUACUCUCUUCACACCAUGAAUGGAAAUGAAGUUUUGGCUAAGCUAUGGUUUGAUUUAUUUAAUUCAAGUUGAAGAAGUUGACAAAUGCUAAUUCCUUAUUACUUAUUAGCUAUGUGAUCUUACUGUACUUUUGGUUUAGUGUCCAUUCUAGUCUAGCUUCUUAAGUGUAGUAGCUCGUAUUAUCUGUUUGUUCUAAGGUUGGAGCUGAGAUUUUAUUUAACUAUGGUUUAUUCAAGAAUUUUCAUUCUAGUAUAACAUGUGUAAUUGAGGAUGGUGGCUAUUGAGCUUACUGACGAGGCUGCCUGGUCUUUGAAAAUGUUUUAUAGCUAUGGGUGGGAUGCUUAUUAGUUUGGUUCACUCAUGUUGUAGGUUCAUCAGUUUUGGUUUAAUUUUAUCUCCCC
rnacentral:lncRNA from 1 species